UACGGGGGGGGCAAGCGUUGUUCGGAAUUACUGGGCGUAAAGGGCUCGUAGGCGGCCAACUAAGUCAGACGUGAAAUCCCUCGGCUUAACCGGGGAACUGCGUCUGAUACUGGAUGGCUUGAGUUUGGGAGAGGGAUGCGGAAUUCCAGGUGUAGCGGUGAAAUGCGUAGAUAUCGGGAGGAACACCAGCGGCGAAGGCGGCACUCUGGGCUGGUACUGACGCUCAGGAGCGAAAGCGUGGGUAGCGAACAGG
rnacentral:rRNA from 1 species